rnacentral:rRNA from 1 species
UACGUAGGGUGCAAGCGUUAAUCGGAAUUACUGGGCGUAAAGCGUGCGUAGGCGGUUAUGCAAGACAGAUGUGAAAUCCCCGGGCUUAACCUGGGAACCGCAUUUGUGACUGCAUAGCUGGAGUACGGCAGAGGGGGAUGGAAUUCCGCGUGUAGCAGUGAAAUGCGUAGAUAUGCGGAGGAACACCGAUGGCGAAGGCAGUCCCCUGGGCCUGUACUGACGCUCAUGCACGAAAGCGUGGGGAGCAAACAGG